rnacentral:rRNA from 1 species
GACGAACGCUGGCGGCGUGCUUAACACAGGCAAGUCGAACGAUGAAGCCGGAGCUUGCUCCGGUGGAUUAGUGGCGAACGGGUGAGUAACACGUGAGCAAUCUGCCCUUGACUCUGGGAUAACUGCGGGAAACUGUAGCUAAUACCGGAUACGACACCUUGGGGCAUCCCAGGGUGUGGAAAGAAUUUCGGUCAAGGAUGAGCUCGCGGCCUAUCAGCUAGUUGGUGAGGUAAUGGCGCACCAAGGCGACGACGGGUAGCCGGCCUGAGAGGGUGACCGGCCACACUGGAACUGAGACACGGUCCAGACUCCUACGGGAGGCAGCAGUGGGGAAUAUUGCACAAUGGGCGAAAGCCUGAUGCAGCAACGCCGCGUGAGGGAUGAAGGCCUUCGGGUUGUAAACCUCUUUUAGCAGGGAAGAAGCGAAAGUGACGGUACCUGCAGAAAAAGCACCGGCUAACUACGUGCCAGCCGCCGCGGUAA